AUACGGAGGAUCCGAGCGUUAUCCGGAUUUAUUGGGUUUAAAGGGAGCGUAGGUGGAUUGUUAAGUCAGUUGUGAAAGUUUGCGGCUCAACCGUAAAAUUGCAGUUGAAACUGGCAGUCUUGAGUACAGUAGAGGUGGGCGGAAUUCGUGGUGUAGCGGUGAAAUGCUUAGAUAUCACUAAGAACUCCGAUUGCGAAGUGAGCUCACUAGACUGUUACUGACACUGAUGCUCGAAAGUGUUGGUAUCAAACAGGAUUAGAUACCCUGGUAGUCCACACAGUAAACGAUGAAUACUCGCUGUUUGCGAUAUACAGUAAGCGGCCAAGCGAAAGCAUUAAGUAUUCCACCUGGGGAGUACGCCGGCACCGGUGAUACUCAAAUGAAUUGGCGGGG
rnacentral:rRNA from 1 species